AUAUGAUAAGUAAUAUCCUCCCUAUUUCACAGAUGAGGAAACUGAACUCCAGAGAGUUUAAGCAACUUCCUGAAAGCUGCUAGAUAAUAAAGGUGGAGCCGGAUCUGGACUCCGGGAGAUUCACCUCCUCCCAAUAUGCCUUGCUUCCUGUUCACACAGCCACAUUGUUGGAAGAGAAUUCCCCUAAUUCUACACAUCUGGUGAGCAGAGACACCACCCACCUUUUGUUCUCAACAAUCUUUUUAAGAAUGUGUCUAGAGUGAACACCCCUACAGAGUAGAACUGGUUUCUCUCUGCAGAGAAGAAGACACAUUUGUUUGCUGCCCAGUAUAAUAAAGAUAAUAUCUUCCUCCAUGGCCAAAUUUGGACAGGUUUGCUCACAACCCAUGAGAGAAGAUUCGAAUUUUCUAAGCUCAGGGUUCUGCAGAUGUAACUCAGACCCACUGCCUGCGCAUUGCCCCAUGGGACCUGGGGACAAGGGGUAGCAGUGCAACAUAACACUUAAGCUGCCUGCUCUUCCAUAAGUAAUAAAGUCGUUCGCCUCUCGGUCAGGAAUCAUGAGUCUCAUGACAGCUUGCAAGUAGGGUAGAAUCUCAGACCCUUCACAAUUCUUAACAACCACAAGUCCAGCAGAAUGAAAGAUCACAGGACGUUGGGUUGCUUUUGGCUGCCUACUCCAUUGGGACCCCAUAUUGUUCGCUCAUCCCCUUUCACCUAAGGUUAAUCACCUAGGGUCCCCAUCCCCCAGUGACUGAAUAAAUAUGCCUGAAGGUUAGUCUGAAGUAAUACCAAUUGUUAUUUUCUUUUCCUCUCACAGAUAAAAGUAGUAGUAUUUUCAUAGUGUCUUAACCUUGUGUAUUAGAGAUGUAGCUGUUUCAGGUACCAUGCGAAGCCAGAAGUAAUAGCUGUUAUUAACAAGAGAGGCUUCCCCCUGUGUGAAUUAAAUCGGAGCAUAUCUGGAGUGUACUGUUCCUUCCCAUCUGGCCAGCCCUGCCCACCCCUUCAGAGAGGUCAAGGAUUAACACUGUUCAUCCAGGCCUCUCAGGCCAGCCCCAUUCAUCCUUCCAUGCCCUGGAAUGAGUUCUUAGCUUUGCCUUGACUGUAGAGACCUCUUCAUGAGUGCUUAUUGUCAGAAUAAAUACAUGAAUGGCCCCAUUCUGAUUUCUCUUUUCUCAGGUCAUAUGAGUCAUUAGAUCAAAUCAUAUAAUAGCACGGAGAAUUUCCGAAAAUGUUCCAUGAGGCUGAUUUACAAGAUAAGCUGUUGGAGGAAAUUAAAUCCACACCUCCCAGGACUUUGGAUUUUAUUUGUUUCCGGAGUUGGGAACACAGCUGCCGGUCAUGAGUGAAUAUCUGCCCCGAUUUGUCGCCAAGAAGGGUAAGAUGAAAGUUAAUGGAAGCCCCACAAUUUCUGACUUCUGUAUCUGUGAUGAAAGCCCCAUAUGCUGCCUCUAAGGUGUGUUUAUUUCUUUUCUUCGAAAGCUGGUUUCAACUCCUGAAGAAGUUCAGCAUCACUGUUGACUUAGUGACAUGACACAAUCUAUUGUCACUAUAUGAUGAUUUCCAAAUUGGAUCCACGAUGUGAGUUUGAAUCACAGGAUUGAGGCCAAGUGGGAUGAAGAGAGAUGCGACUGUGGCAGUAACGGAAGUCAUGAGGUUUAUCUCUCCAGUACACUUAGCAACUUAUUUAACUUCAAAAUAUUUUUGUUUUAUGUCAGUUUUUUGCUUGUUUGUUUCUCUGGAUGUGAAUCAGAAAAGAUACUGGGUGUGAGAGCUUCAGGGAUGGCUAAAGAAGGAUGCAAAUAAAACUUCCAAAGAGAAUAGUAAAAAAUAAAAUAAAAUAAACACAUUUGUAUUAAUGUUGUCACUCUUAACAUUCACUAUCAAAAAUCAAAAGACUAAUUUAAAUAGAAGUAACAGACGUAGUUCUACUAACUCAGCCUCAAUGUCAGUGAUAUUAUUACCCAUGAUACCAAACAGCAUGACAAAGUUUAUCAUGAUUAUUUAGAACACCAACAUGACCAUCUCCAGUUCAUAGUAUGACUUCUUCCAAUAAUACAGCUAAAGUUAAUGAGUUGGGGUGAGUGUUCUCACUAAUUUGUUUACAUACAGGCCACUUGAGAUGUAUACACUAGGAAGUAAUCUCUGAGCAGAGAGAGACCAUAGGGUUCCAUAAUGAAGACAAAACAUGUACAAAAUGUCACAUUUGUUAAACACGAAAGAUGAGUUGUAUCAUGUCUGUAUGUGUCUGUGCCUAGACUUCAAAUAAUAUGGAUGUAUAUAUAAAGCUUCAUUUCAAGAUAAAAAGUUACCAUCUUAUUUGCGCAUAAUUGGGAGAUGUCGAGUGAACAGUUUACACCCUCCUUUAAACUAUUUACUUUUCUAUAGAAUCACUCUUACUAAACCUAAAACACGUUCCUUUGUUAAUGACAAUUGCAACUGGAAGAAAUCACGCAGCAGUUGGGAAAUAUCAUUCAUGUCCAAGAAUUCAUUUCUUCAAAUUUCUCUUACUAUUUUUAUUCAUGGCACAGAAAUGCAACUCUGUCUGCAAGAAGCCACCGGGCAUAAAUAUAGACAGGCACUUACCUCUUUGUCCAACAUAAUCAUUCAUCCGUGUUUGUGGAAGGAUGGAGGGAAGAGGGAGCAAGAAAGGAGUGAAUCAUUCUAUAUCCUUCAGGUGAAUAAUUUACUUGUUUGGUUUAAAUAAACCACAUUGAGGAAUAUCAAUUAUUUAAGAUUACUUGUAUACAGCUCAGUAUGUUAUAACCUUGUGAAGCAAAUUCUUGGCCCUGGUGCCUCAGUAGUUUCAAAGAGUUUAAGGCCCUCUCUGUCUAAAGUGAAAAGAAGAGUUUUCACUUUAGGAUCUACACUCAAAAGUCAUUUGGUCUCAACCACAACUUGGCCACUAGUUUAAACCUGGAUCAAGUAUUUUGUUAUCAACUGGUAAGGGUUUAAUCAUUUCUGUUUAUUUUAUGUAUUUUUCCUCUUAUGUGGUACAUUUCCAUCAUAAAUUCAAAACUGAAUUAUUUCAUUCACAUAAAAAUAUUUAUUAUUUCCUCUGGGUCUAAUAAGAUGCUUCAGGCUAUGUAUGUUAAUAAACCAACGAUUCUCACCUUUAA